AACCUUAUGGACCUGCGGGCGUAUACCUGCGGAGGGAUCAUUAUCGAGUUAGGGUUCCUCUCACGGGCCCGAUCUCCCAACCCUGUGUCUACCACACCUUGUCGUUGCUUCGGCGGACCGGUCCUUCGACCGCCGGGGGUGCUUUGGCCCCCUGGAGCGCGUCCGCCGAUGGCCCAACCACACAAACUCUUGGUACCAAACCCUGUCGUCUGAAGCACUUGAUAUAUAAUCAACACAAAA
rnacentral:misc_RNA from 1 species